CUGGAAGUACAUGGACCGAGUUGAGCAGAGUGGAUAUAGGAUCCAUGUCAAUCUCAACUAGUUCAUGGCAUUUUGAAUUGGGCAUCCUUCUUGAUCCAAUUUGAGUGGAGUCCAUGUAAAUAUGCACAUUUUUCCUUAUGUACUGCAACAGAUCCUUUUGUAACUAAAUGACCUUGAUGGAAGAAAUUAAGCAUGGUGGUUCACUUUCAUGGUUUAAUUCCUACAGGUCAUAGGAGUUUAGUCAGAAUGAGUGGCUGUAUGGAUUUCUUUGAUGGCUACCAAAUAUUUACCUCAUCCUACUUGGACUGUAUGUUCCAUUUUUCCGUAGCUAUAAAAGACUAAUAAUUAGGAAAAAUAUCAUCAUUAUAACUAGAUGAUUUUGACUUUCCUAAAUGUCAAAAUAAAAAGGCUGAUCCUGAUAUUGCUUCAUCUCGAUUAUGUUGGAAAUUUGCCUUUUCAGGUGACAUCAUGAGAUCCAGUGGUCCUAAAAUUGAUUACAUGUGUAUAUUUCUGGUAGGAGUGAUCAGUAAGAUUUUAAAUUGAUUACCUAUGUAUAUUUCUGGUGCGAGUGAUUUCUUAAGAUUUUGUGUGAGUUGUCAAUUACAGCUGCUAAAGAAAUCUGUAUGGUAAUGACAGCUAUGGACUCUAUUGAAGGAUAAUGGUAUCCAAUUUAGCAAAGAGCAAAUUUUUUGACUCUGUUUCUCUCUUUUGCUUUUGUUCAAACUUACCUUUUAAAUCACAAAAGAGACAAAAGACCAAGGUCAUCUAGGGUAAGCUAUUCCUAUCAUGUCUGCUUGGACCACACCUUGUUCCCAUGAGCUGUGUCAGCUCCGUGGCUCUCUUAUGGUCAAGAAUCAGCUUAUAUAUUUGCUUCCUCGAUGAUAUGAUUGAUCAGAACCAGUAGCCGUAUGCUAGUAAUAAACAGUUUGCAGAAACAGGCCUAAUGGGGUGAUCUUGAUGAGGCUAAAGCUGUUUGAUACUCGAGUCAGUUGGCAAGGGUAGCUCCUCUCAAGUCCUUCCUUUUCAAGUAUUUGCGGACUCCACAUUUUGAUAAACCUUAUUGUCCACAUUUCUCCACUAGACGGGUGGCUUGUCCAGAUAGCAUAGGAUUUGAUCCAUUUGGUAUUUUGGAAUUGGUCAGAGCUAUCAUAUUUGCUAUUUAAGAAAAUAUUAAUUUUAUUUAAUUGUUUAGACUGGAUUUCUGGACUUGCCUUGUACAGAAUAAUUAAAUGCUAUGUUGCUUGGACUCAUUACUUUGGAUGCCACACCUAUAUUGACCUGACAUGGGUGUAGGUGUGAGAUAUGUAUGGGAUAUAGUAAACCAAUUUUGGGUAUUUCAAUUAAAAUUGUCGAAAAAAUACAAUAAUUUUUGAAAAUUAAAACA
rnacentral:lncRNA from 1 species